rnacentral:rRNA from 1 species
GAUGAACGCUGGCGGCGUGCUUAACACAUGCAAGUCGAACGAAGCAUUUAUUUUUGAAGAGAGUAGCUUGCUACGAUUGGAAAUGUUAAAUGACUGAGUGGCGGACGGGUGAGUAACGCGUGGGUAACCUACCUCAUACAGGGGGAUAACAGUUGGAAACGACUGCUAAUACCGCAUAAGCGCACAGUAUCACAUGAUACAGUGUGAAAAACUCCGGUGGUAUGAGAUGGACCCGCGUCUGAUUAGCUAGUUGGUAAGGUAAUGGCUUACCAAGGCGACGAUCAGUAGCCGACCUGAGAGGGUGACCGGCCACAUUGGGACUGAGACACGGCCCAAACUCCUACGGGAGGCAGCAGUGGGGAAUAUUGCACAAUGGGGGAAACCCUGAUGCAGCGACGCCGCGUGAGUGAAGAAGUAUUUCGGUAUGUAAAGCUCUAUCAGCAGGGAAGAAAAUGACGGUACCUGACUAAGAAGCCCCGGCUAACUACG